CUCAUCGUCAUCAUUAUCAUCGCUUGAGCAACAAGGUCCGCCAAGCACUCCCGAAACACCGAUCACGGUUGGGCUUUCGGACAUUUUGAAAUGGAAGGAGGAGCUGUCUGCAGUAAGGGUUUCGUGGAUUACAUCGUCAGACAGGAUGAGGUGGCUAGAGGAUCAAUUUAAUCAUCUUAUUCCAAAUAACAAUAGUAAUGUAGUUGCUGAAUUUGGGAAGGGAGGUCAUUGAGAUUGGUUGUUUGGAUAAUAAAAUGUUAGGCUCA
rnacentral:lncRNA from 1 species